GUGUGUGUGUGUGUGGUCCAGGUAGCAGACCCAUAUUUAGCAUGUCAGACACUUCUGAGAACGCACCAGUUCCUCUGGGCCUGUUGGUGGUCACGAGUCAUCGUUGCCUCAGGCAGUCAGAUAAACACGGGUUGAGUCAUGGCGAGCGGUCUCUCGUGGGUCUUUUAUUGCUCGCUGGGCGGGGAAGCUAAAGCUCCAUCUUUGGGGCUUGUAAAGACUAGAACACAAUCGAUUGGCUGGGAUUUCUCUGAAGCAUACAAAUGUUUCCCGAAGAAGCUCAGGAAUACAUUUCAGGCUUCCUCACACUUCCCCGUUUAAAACGCGUGAGGCAAAUUUCUUUUCCAUCUGUCAGCUGAAGGAACACACAUCCACGCAGGGAACGUCACGGUCAACGUCACUCUAACAGCCGUACCUUUUCAGAUACACGUCUUUACUUCCCAACCACCCUCUUACCCAGAUGUUGCUCUCGAAGAGGUGCGAAGUGUGUCGGUUUGAGCUCGAGUGCCUUAUCUUUAGGGUCAUUCAAUCAAUCCUGUCGUUAUCUCAAACUCCUGUCAAUCCCCAUACGCUCAAACGCCAGCUAUCGAUCACCCUGAUUGACUCCUAACACAUGGCAUUGUGCUGCUGAAAAUGUCUAAUUUUAACAUUUGCGCUCCACAUAACAUUUUGUCACCACACUCGCUGUCUAAGAUUUAAUUUAAUCUAGCACAUGUUGUAUGAACGUGACUCAUAUAUAAUAUAAAAACAAACAAACAAAGUCAUUUCUGGGGAUUGGUCUUCUCCACAAAUGUCAAGAAACACAUCAGGUUAUAAAAUUCACAAAACUGCUAAAUUUGAUGAUUUGACAAAGACAUUAUUUGCAAAUAUGAGAUCUUUAAGGCAAUUGUAAAUAUCUUUAAGAGAGAUUAGUGAGGAGUCUAAUAAAAAACAGAUCAAACAUCUCCCAAAAUGACAAGUGUGUAGUUGUAGGAUCACUGACAAACAUCCGAAAAUCUUCAGAGUAGGUCUUUGAUGAAAUAUAUGUGACAUGCAGUUUUGAUAAUUGAACUUCUCAUAACUGGAGACUCUUAACUAAAUGCAGUUAAGCCCUCCUGGCUUGGUUUGAGGCGAGGUGUUGUGUCAUGGUUAAGCCACCUGAUCGGGCCCAACCUGCAGGGCAGCUUGGGCCCAAUCAGCUUGACGUGUGGCUUCAGAACAUAAUGCAUGUGGCUGUAUAGGGAUCCCUUAACGCCUGGAACAGCCUCGGCUCGUAAUGUACACUAUCUUUCUCUCAAAGUUUACGUAUUCCAAAGCACGUGAACAUGCCUGGGCCGCUCUCCAAAAACAACAGUAUUGAUUUUUAAUUUGGUUGUAUUGUUUAUUCCUUAAUAAAGGAACUUAAGCAGCUGCUGUGAUUAUUUAAUGUGAGGGCAGGUAAUACGCCCACUGCGCCAUUGUGUUCAUAAAUGUGACAGAAAUCAACAUGAAAGCCUCCCGGGGACCGUGCAUCUUUAUGAAAUCAUUACUAAUAACCGUUGAUAUAUUGCAUGUAUGUUCUCAGCGAGGACAAAAGGUUUACAGAGAUGUUGGAAGGACGUACGAGUCUUUGUCUUUGUGAAGGUGGUUUGCAUCCGCCACCAAUGGUGUGUGUCACAUAGAGACAUGCCACCUGGAUGGAGACACCAACCUGAUGCAGAGGAGGGCCACGUCAGUAAGGAAUUCCACUUCUCCAUUCCCUCUGUGCUGCGCCGCCUCUCCCCCUUCUCUCUGUGACUGAUAUCCAACACGACAACUGUAACAUUUUCUGAGCAUCUGCGGUACGUGAGGAUCGUUAUGUCAGAAGGAAAACCCAUAGAUGUUGUAUUACGUAAGCUAAAUUGUAUUUUUAGACCGCGGUUGUGUUUCCUGUCUGUAAUACGUGGCAGAACAGAUUGAGUUACAUUGAGAAAGUCUGUAUUCAUUCUGCGGCAACUUUACACCUCCUCUCAUUUCCCGGGAACUUAAAUUUAAAGCUUCAACAGAGUCGUAGUGCGUGAAAAGCCCAACAACGAUCUCAAUCAUUUCAAGUUUUAUGUGUGAGUAUCAACUACACAGAUCACAUAGAUUCCCCAAACAACGCCUGACCGAGAAGCCGGGCGAAACUAAUUACAACCCACUUGCUGCAUUUUCUGAUGCCACCCAAAGGCAUUACUGGGGCAGAAAUAGAUUGUAAUCGAUUUCUUCAUCCACCACAGCUCUUACAGCUGGUCGACCACGGUGUCCGGCCACGGCCAUAAAGGACGGGAAUUGCUGAUGGUGAACUUAUAAGCAGUAAUGAAUAUCUAAACAGAUCUGACAGUAUAAAUGAUAUUUCUCAUUUUCUCCUGCUGCAGAGAUACCUGAUAAGGACAAGGUGGGGGCUGGAAUAGAGAGUCUGCUGCUGCGAGGCUGCCAAAUGAAAAACACGGACCACGCUGUGGCUUUGUGGUGCAUGCAGGUGUGUUCGCCAUUCGCUAUGAGCUUUUAGUGUGUUUUUUGGGACCAAGGCAGAACUUUACAAGCGCAAGAGUUCAAAUGUCAUACAGGUGUAAUUUAUAACAUCAAUUACAGCCCCGAUCCUUUUAGGUGGAUCAAGGCCCUGGUGUUUUGCAUGCUGGAUCACUGGAUUGACUAUGACACACUAAAAAGACAGGGACCAUUUCUCAUUAUAUCAAUUCCAACUAUGUUCAACCUGCUCAACCAACAGAUUCUGUAAAAAGGGCCUAUAUAAUAGUGUUUUAAGCUAAUUGUAACACAAAGUAUAAGUGCUUAUGCUACAGCUGUUAGGGAAGUUCUUCACAACGAUGACCUGAUAAUGAUGAUAUAUAAAGAAUCACCAAAGUUAAAACAAUGAGCACCAUCUCGUUUAUUGUGUCAAAACUUGUGUCUGCUUUAUGGCUGAUGAAUCAAGGCCACAUGAAAGGUUUGACUUGCUCUUGUAGAAAAAAGGAAAAUCCAGAGGGUUAUCAAAGGCAGCAGGAUUCCUCCUCCAGGGACAACCGAGGUCUGUGCAAAUGUGUUUUAUGACAAUGCAUCCAAUAGCUGUUUAGAUAUGUCUGGAUCAAAGAGGUGGACCAACCAAAUGACAGAAAAAUUGUUCUGACAUUGUAAUGUUUGGAUUCAUGUUGAAAAUAGCCGUCAGUAUUAAAAAAGGUUUCUCUGCUGCGGAAUAAUCAACCCACACAUUUCCUGAAAUAUUACAGAAGUCAUGACCUCGGUGUUUUUGGUCCUUGCAUUAGCUAUCACGGAUGAAGCAUGUUUUAAAAUAUAACAACCAGUUUUCCUUGAUGUUCGCGGUCAACCUUGGAGAACCUGUUUGUAAAUGAAUCAACACCUUUGAAAAGGCCACGAAACCAAAUCGCGCUCAACAACGGCGGCCCGAGAUACAAGCGCAGCAAAUUAGAGCAUAAGCUGAACGUAGACGUCAUCUCCUGCGUCAUUCUCUUCCUCAGCGUGUGUCUUGUUGGAGCACUGGGUCAGUGAGGAUUUACAUAACCACAAACUCAUUACGCGGACUGGUUCAUAAUUAAUGAUUUUACAUUUAUGAAGAGAUGUUUCAUUUCUUUGGUCAGUGAGCAAUAAAGUAUACUAGUAAAAAAAAAGGUAGGAGACAAGGGAAGAUGUGGUGCCAAAAAUAGCAUUCUUCCCUGUGUGGCAGUCUGCGGGUGAUUUCCCUGUAGGUCACUUCUGGCUGCAGGCGCCGCCCGCUGUGCUCCCUUGCCUUGUCCCCGACGGCAAUGGUCACCUGUCCCAGUCUGUCUGGCUUAUAUUAUGUUCUUUCCCACGAUCAUCGUGCUGCAGGUGGAGAAGUCUGACUAUGUGUAUAAAAGAAAGUAUUUAGUGUCUCCUUCUAAAUUUCUCAAUUGUCUUUUUUGCCUCUUUUCUCCAAACUUCCUUUUCAUGAGCUUCUUGUCAACAUAGUGUUUCCACUCUUUUUCCUACAUAUUGUGUUGUGUUCUGAUCAAUGACACAAUCAAUUUCUUCCUUUUAUAUUUGUGGUGCUUAAAUACAAUUUCUGUAUUACUGCUUUUUUUUACCCUGGAGUUGAGUUCCCAGUCCCCAAAGUACAUUUUUUUAUUGGCUGAUUGACUGAGUGUUUUGGGAGUUUGACAUGACCUGACAUAUAGUCCACGUAACAUACAGUACAUUCCCUCUAUCAGCUCUGUAUGAAUGUGCUUUUUUGGUGGGUGCGCAGCCAGGGAAGAGGUCAUCAUAAACUAGCGGUCGCGACCCCCACAGACCGGACGGACCCACUCAGGUCACCAACCGCGACGACGCGCAACAUCAUCAUGAAAACCGAGGCAAGAGCAAGUUAAAGGGCGACGUGGCCUUCAGCGGUUCGCCGGUAAACUGACUGCCUAGUCAUGAAGAAAAAAUAUAUUUAAUUGAGAAUGGGGUUCACGUUGUGCGUUUUAAAGCGUGUUGACAUCAUAAUGCGAGGUCACAGGAAGCUUCCGUGGGGGAAAUGGUGACCAGCAUUUUGUUUGCUCGAGGCAAACGAGCAAACAAAAUGCCCCCUAGAAGGACCCACAAAUUAGACUCAUUCCUCUUGAUUAACAAGUGUCCUUGCAGUUAUAAUGACAAGUGAAUACCACAGAUGCAUGGCUCAAAAUCACAACAGUGUAUUUAUUGUGUACUGACUGAGUACUAUCAGCCAAGACGGCCACUGAAACGUCUUGCCUGACAUCUCUUAAUUAAUCUAAGACGUUAUGUCUUAUCAUAGAACAGUAUUAAGAAUGAAUGUAUAUUUAUGGAAAAUGUCUCUGGAGCAUAAUUUGUGUGGACACAUACUGGACAGGCUCGAUGGGGUCAUUAUUAUAUCAGUAUACAAAAUGUAUACAAUUAGUAUUUUUUGGGCUCUUUUCAUUAAAUUGGCAAACCAUACUAACCACAUGAAUAUUAGAAUCUUAGUACUAAUAUUAGUAUGUUUAUAAGAUCUAGAAAUUGGAACGUUUACCCAAUGACCUGAUUUAAAAUAUUAUUUUCAGUCUUCAAAUACCCACUGAAAAGACCUCAAUGCGAUUUUGUUUACCAAAAUCUCACCCCAUUGUGGUGUCAAAAGGUCUCAUGGGACUUGUCCCCGCUGCAGAUGGCAGAGCUGUUAGGUGACAGUGAUAAGCACGUCCACUUGGGCUCAAGAUAGCCUCCAUGUCUGUGACGGGACAUAUGGUCACGCUGGGCCCCAUUAGGCACAGACCAAUGAUGUCACAUAAAGUGUAAACGUGCACUAUGGAUUAGUCAUCGUCGUCUUGACAUGCAAUACAGUAACUGCGUCUAUUUUUGUCCACUGGGCGAAGAGGGGCUGAGAGACACAGGCCGAGACGGAACAAGUCUUGUGUUCAUUCCAGCAAGGCGGCAAAAAGCCCGUCUUUGGUUUCCUUCAUACUGUGUCUCUGAUCAAGAAGAAAUUUUGAAUGAAUGAAAACUUCCUCUCGUCCUAAAAAGUAGUUCUUCGAAGUCGCAUGAUCGAACAAAACUGGAUGAAAAGGUUAAAAGUGUAAAACCUUUUCCAAUCCUGUCUCAUCAAAACUAUGAAAGCUGAGUCAAUAAACAUUUAUCGACAUGUUUCGUUUAAAAACUGAUUGACUUUCACUCCAAGAGGAAACUGCAGUGAUUCCAGACAGGAAGCUGCUGCAGCAGAUUAGUAAAUCAGGGAGCAGCAGCGGCAGCCGGAAGACAGAUCCUUACCUGGACUAUUUUCUGGGCCUCGCCAUUUGCAACACGGUGGUGGUUUCCAUGGCAACAGCUCAGAGACAGAGGGUGAGUGCUUUGUCUGCUGCCACACAGUGAAUAGGAAAUAGAGAUGGAGGCACAGUCAGGAACGGAAAGAUGGCCAGAGAAUGUGUUCUCUUCCCAGUGUGCAUCUACUUGGCCUACUGUAGUAGUAAUAGACUGAAGAAUCUAUUCAGUGUCUCAUUCAUUGUACAACAUCAAUCUUUAAACGUGGUGUCCAGCCAUGAGGCUGCAGUACUGCAGCAAAAUCUUCAUAAUUUAAGUUAAAAGGAUUCUUAUUAACCUUAAACAAUUAAUUAUAUUAAAAAAGGUUAUCUUCAAUUGUUUAGCUUUGAGUUUCUGUUCAUUCAUCAGUGGUCAGUGCUAAUUUUCUUUCAUUUUUCAAUCCCCAGUUGUAAAGAUUGAGGCCUCGCUAAAUUAGCAACGUAGUAAAGGGAGAUUUGCAGGGGCAAUCAGGGUUGUCUUUAAUAAUUUUAGAGCUGGCUGUGCUGUUAUCCGGUCUGGCAGAUGGGAAAAGAAAGGUGGGUUUUCCCUUGAGUUUGUAAUUAAAGGUAAAAGCACAAAAAGUAAUGAAGUGGAAAUGGAUGACGAGUGUUUUUGUGUUAUCAGCGUAUGUUUUUUCGCCUCACCUUUUCAGGUGAGUGGGUUUUGGCGCUCUGGUCAGGCGAACAACUCACUGAAUACAAAGUCGGUCUCUUCGGCAUACUUCCACCUCCUGGCAGGACAGGCCCGAGAGAAAUCCGACCAUAGAGGACUCAGUUUUAGAGGAGGACCACUUUAAGCCCCUGUAGAAAAGAGAAGGUUGAAGUCACCACCGGGCUCCACAUGCAUUUGCUCCACCCUGUAUCAUUUCAUAAUUCACCAUAUAAAUAAAUCUGUGUCCUAUUAUUUUCAGAACAUCUCAGUGGGAGGCGGAAGGAUAUCGUAGGUACCAGCAUCACAUUGACUGUUACGCUUUGUACACUGUGCUUUACAAAGAAGGCAGACAAUAUGAUUUGUUGAUAUGUACCGGCAUAACCGUCUCGUACUGGUUGAGCUCUGUUCAUCCUCUUUCUGCGUGUGCUGGAGGUUGUGAGUGACAAGGUCUUCUGAAAGCUGGUCAGUGAUCAGACUGAGAGCCCUGGCUGCUACAGACAACAGAGAGCAGUUUGUUAUGGACACUGCGGUGCAGCUAGAGACGGACCUCUCCCUGCAUGGAGAGCUGCAGGCUACUGGAAGAGAAGGAUCAGGUGAUUAAGAUGAGCUGCAAAAACAAGACGAGGAGGCCGAUGUUGAGGUUUGGCUUCUUGACCCAGACCUGUUUGUUCUUUUCUGUACUGGUUAAGUGAUGCAUGAUGGAACAUCUCUGAUUCACUUCUCACCCCACAAUUAGAAUUUGCUUUGGGAAAUCAAACGUGAUAUGAAAAUGUUAAUGUACUUAAAAAUAAUCGAGUUAUGUUAGCUUAGCACAAUGACUGAAACCAGUGGGAAACAGUUUGCUGGCUCUGUCCAAAGGUAACAAAAUCUGCUCACUAGUGGUUGCCAGGCAACACGCAGAGAAUCCAGGAGGUUAACAGUCCGAUAGACAGCCUCAUUUUUAUACAUUAGAAAAACAAGAUGCAAUUAAUUAAUGAGCCGUAGAGGUGCGUGUAGGUUAAUUUUGUUACUUUUGUACCUUUGGCUUUGUUUUCAAGCUUUAUGCUAAGCUAAGCUAAGCUCAUUGCUAGGUGAUAUUGGGGCAUCUCUGAAAUAGACAAAACUUGGAGUUGAUCUUUUAUUUUCAGCAUAUACUCUGGAACAUUUUACAUCACGUGAUAAAGUGUCAUUCCCAAAAAGAGACCUAAAAUGGGGUGCGUUAUGUACUGUGAUUAAUUAUGAAUUAUCAUGAUAUCUGAUUUUCCAACUUUGAUUGCAGGUACAUUUAUUUAUUUUUUAUUUUUGAUACAAAAUAUGAAUUUACUUACUUCUUAUAUGCAAUUCUUGAGCUACACAAUAACAAAAAACAUGACGUUUUCAAAUCAAUAAAUAAAAAGUAAAUACUGUGAAGUCCUGGAGCAGUACAACUUUUACGUGAUUUAUAUUUCACACGUCACACACAUACAGCGUGUUUCUCGGGUCGGCAUCGGCAGUUUUUGAUGGUCACUCAGGACAAGACUUGUGCUUUCCAAACUGUCAGUUCAGGAGGUUUUGCCCCCGAGUCCAGCUCGUUUGAAUUCAAAUGGCCAAACCAUUUGACAAUCUUUGCAUAUAACUAAAGGUCAAACGCUCAAAUUUUCAUCUGAGAAAGAUGAGGAGUCAGGUGUGGGCCCUGCUCCUCUGAGGUCAUUAAAGACCCUUCGUAGCAACCUGACUAUGUCCUAAUCAUCCCUCAAAUAGACCGAAAUGACCCGUCGGCUCUGACGGAUACAUGGGGAGCUUUAUGGAACGAAGGCCCUGCUGCGCUCCUCUCAGACAGGACUAGUCAUUGAUGAUGAAUGGAAGGAGAUACCGCUAAUACAAUAUCUACUGCCUUCAUAUCUAAUUACCUGUCUAAUUCCCCCCCCCCCCCCUCUGGGAAAUACCCCUUUUCUCAUAUUGGUAAUGAACCUUUUUUUUCAUGUUUACCACUGUAACUCGAUGACCACCUGAGGGAUGGACUCCCACAGUCGUCUCCAAACCACACCUAAUGAAAUUUAACCGGCAUUAGAUAGAUGAUCUAAAAACAGGAUGUGACCCAAUUCUUUUCAUCAUGUACCUUUUCCUUUUGGCUAAGAGGCUGAAGUUGUUUACAGACAACAAUGAUGAGUCUGACGGGACCACAGCUUCAUAAUUGCUUCUAGUCAGACAUUAUGAACAGCAUAGAGUCUUCUUUUUAUGGAUUAUAAGAGAUGGCGCACCCAAGUAGAGAUUUAUCCUCUUUAACCUUGUCUUUUUGUCAAUUGACCACAGUUAAAUCACAUUAAUUAAAACUUUGUAAUAGGGCUAUGAGCAUUUUUUGUUUUUCAUAAUUGAUUAAUUUGUAUUGUUUGCAAACGCAUUGUUUUGUCUAUAAUGUGUGAAGUGGGAAACCAUCAAACAGAUUCCCAGAUGUUAUUCGUUUCUUGUACUGCUCUCACUAACUAACUCUGUGUCAUCUGCAGGCGGUCAUGGUGGGUGAUUUUGCCAUAUCUUGCUUCAAACACCUAAAGAAAAUGUAUCCUGGUUUGACAUGAUCAUUUACUUCCUCUGUGAGAACGUGGUACACGUUUCAUGUACUGAAGAACUCUAUCGCCCCCUUCCCGCUUGUGCAAGCCGGGCCGGACCCCUCCACCCGAGACGAGUGGUGGAGGAAGUGGAGGGGCUUCACCAGGUCAAACACCCACCCUGGACACCCCAACGGACGUCCGUCCCCCAGUCGGAUGUCAUGCAGGUGGAAUUCACAAUGAAUGUAGUCACAGAAAACGAUCAGAGGCCUGUUCACACAAGAGAAACAGACUAGUUGACAACUUCACAGAAUAAUAUGUUUGUUUAUUUCAGAAAAUGGCAACUAUUUUUCAUGAUUGGAUACCCUUUCUCUUGGACUUGUGACAAAUCAUCGAUUGGGGUGGUGAGUGUGUACGCCCUCUCCUCGUUAUCCGCUUCAUGACAAGCCGCCAUAGUGAACACAUAAGCCUGUUACUUUCCUGAUGGGUUUUCAGAGCACAGUGGUAACCCACUUAGUCAUGCCACCCACCCCUCCAAAACGUGGCACUUUUCCAGAACAAAAUGCUUAGCUGGUUUAAUGAAUUCUUCUCAACUCGAUACCCCAAACAGUCACAACGCCUCCUGUCACUGAGAAAGCGCCUAUGUGCGGUUUACAGAUUCGGCCUGAAAAAUGUGUGUUUUGUCGUGCUGUAGACUGGGUCUGUGACUCUUUGUGUGUAUUUUCUUUUAUCUGUACAAUUGGAUAUUAAAAUACAUGUAAGAACAAUCAAA